rnacentral:rRNA from 1 species
UACGUAGGGGGCUAGCGUUGUCCGGAUUUAUUGGGCGUAAAGAGCGUGUAGGCGGCCAGGUAGGUCUGGUGUGAAAACUCGAGGCUUAACCUCGAGAUGUCAUCGGAAACCAUCUGGCUAGAGUCCGGAAGAGGAGAGUGGAAUUCCCGGUGUAGCGGUGAAAUGCGCAGAUAUCAGGAGGAACACCGAUUGCGAAGGCAGCUCGCUGGGACGUGACUGACGCUGAGACGCGAAAGCGUGGGGAGCAAACAGG